AACGAACGCUGGCGGCAGGCUUAACACAUGCGAGUCGAACGCGUGCAGCAAUGCACGAGUGGCGCACGGGUGAGUAACGAGUGGAUAUCUGCCUUUUGGUUCGGAAUAACCCCGGGAAACUGGGGCUAAUACCGGAUGGUUCCUACGGGAUAAAGAUUUAUCGCCAAAGGAUGAGUCCGCGUCCGAUUAGCUAGUUGGUGAGGUAAUGGCUCACCAAGGCGACGAUCGGUAGCUGGUCUGAGAGGACGAUCAGCCACACUGGGACUGAGACACGGCCCAGACUCCUACGGGAGGCAGCAGUGGGGAAUAUUGGACAAUGGGGGCAACCCUGAUCCAGCCAUGCCGCGUGAGUGAUGAAGGCCUUCGGGUUGUAAAGCUCUUUUGGCGGGGACGAUGAUGACGGUACCCGCAGAAUAAGCCCCGGCUAACUUCGUG
rnacentral:rRNA from 1 species